GUUCGAAACGAUGAUGCUGGGUGCUUGCACUGCGUGGAUUAGUGGCGAACGGGUGAGUAACACGUGAGUAACCUGCCCCUGACUUCGGGAUAAGCCCGGCGAAACUGGGUCUAAUACCGGAUAUGACUUCCUGCUGCAUGGCAGGGGGUGGAAAGAUUUAUCGGUUGGGGAUGGACUCGCGGCCUAUCAGCUUGUUGGUGAGGUAAUGGCUCACCAAGGCGACGACGGGUAGCCGGCCUGAGAGGGUGACCGGCCACACUGGGACUGAGACACGGCCCAGACUCCUACGGGAGGCAGCAGUGGGGAAUAUUGCACAAUGGGCGAAAGCCUGAUGCAGCGACGCCGCGUGAGGGAUGACGGCCUUCGGGUUGUAAACCUCUUUCAGUAGGGAAGAAGCCCCUUUUUGGGGUGACGGUACUUGCAGAAGAAGCGCCGGCUAACUACGUGCCAGCAGCCGCGGUAAUACGUAGGGCGCAAGCGUUAUCCGGAAUUAUUGGGCGUAAAGAGCUCGUAGGCGGUUUGUCGCGUCUGCCGUGAAAGUCCGAGGCUCAACCUCGGAUCUGCGGUGGGUACGGGCAGACUAGAGUGAUGUAGGGGAGACUGGAAUUCCUGGUGUAGCGGUGAAAUGCGCAGAUAUCAGGAGGAACACCGAUGGCGAAGGCAGGUCUCUGGGCAUUUACUGACGCUGAGGAGCGAAAGCAUGUGGAGCGAACAGGAUUAGAUACCCUGGUAGUCCAUGCCGUAAACGUUGAGUACUAGGU
rnacentral:rRNA from 1 species